GUCGGCGUGCCUAAUACAUGCAAGUCGAACGAGUUCUUGUUGAUGAUCGGUGCUUGCACCAAGAUUCAACAUGGAACGAGUGGCGGACGGGUGAGUAACACGUGGGUAACCUGCCCUUAAGUGGGGGAUAACAUUUGGAAACAGAUGCUAAUACCGCAUAGAUCCAAGAACCGCAUGGUUCUUGGCUGAAAGAUGGCGUAAGCUAUCGCUUUUGGAUGGACCCGCGGCGUAUUAGCUAGUUGGUGAGGUAAUGGCUCACCAAGGCGAUGAUACGUAGCCGAACUGAGAGGUUGAUCGGCCACAUUGGGACUGAGACACGGCCCAAACUCCUACGGGAGGCAGCAGUAGGGAAUCUUCCACAAUGAACGCAAGUCUGAUGGAGCAACGCCGCGUGAGUGAAGAAGGCUUUCGGGUCGUAAAACUCUGUUGUUGGAGAAGAAUGGUCGGCAGAGUAACUGUUGUCGGCGUGACGGUAUCCAACCAGAAAGCCACGGCUAACUACGUGCCAGCAGCCGCGGUAAUACGUAGGUGGCAAGCGUUAUCCGGAUUUAUUGGGCGUAAAGCGAGCGCAGGCGGUUUUUUAAGUCUGAUGUGAAAGCCCUCGGCUUAACCGAGGAAGCGCAUCGGAAACUGGGAAACUUGAGUGCAGAAGAGGACAGUGGAACUCCAUGUGUAGCGGUGAAAUGCGUAGAUAUAUGGAAGAACACCAGUGGCGAAGGCGGCUGUCUGGUCUGUAACUGACGCUGAGGCUCGAAAGCAUGGGUAGCGAACAGGAUUAGAUACCCUGGUAGUCCAUGCCGUAAACGAUGAAUGCUAGGUGUUGGAGGGUUUCCGCCCUUCAGUGCCGCAGCUAACGCAUUAAGCAUUCCGCCUGGGGAGUACGACCGCAAGGUUGAAACUCAAAGGAAUUGACGGGGGCCCGCACAAGCGGUGGAGCAUGUGGUUUAAUUCGAAGCAACGCGAAGAACCUUACCAGGUCUUGACAUCUUUUGAUCACCUGAGAGAUCAGGUUUCCCCUUCGGGGGCAAAAUGACAGGUGGUGCAUGGUUGUCGUCAGCUCGUGUCGUGAGAUGUUGGGUUAAGUCCCGCAACGAGCGCAACCCUUAUGACUAGUUGCCAGCAUUUAGUUGGGCACUCUAGUAAGACUGCCGGUGACAAACCGGAGGAAGGUGGGGAUGACGUCAAAUCAUCAUGCCCCUUAUGACCUGGGCUACACACGUGCUACAAUGGAUGGUACAACGAGUUGCGAGACCGCGAGGUCAAGCUAAUCUCUUAAAGCCAUUCUCAGUUCGGACUGUAGGCUGCAACUCGCCUACACGAAGUCGGAAUCGCUAGUAAUCGCGGAUCAGCACGCCGCGGUGAAUACGUUCCCGGGCCUUGUACACACCGCCCGUCACACCAUGAGAGUUUGUAACACCCGAAGCCGGUGGCGUAACCCUUUUAGGGAGCGAGCCGUCUAAGGUGGGACAAAUGAUUAG
rnacentral:rRNA from 1 species